UUUUAUCUUGUAAUGUGGAAGCUACAGCCGAUUGAUUCAUCACUACCUUUCACUAAAAAUGGCUACGCUAUCAAAGCUAGAGAUGGCCACGACCUUCCUCGCUUUCACCUCUCCUCGUUCCGCCACCGCCCUGAACUACCGCUUCUCUUCUGCCGCCGUCCCGAUUUUCUCUAGGCGCAUAGCUAAGCCCGUUUCCGUCAGGGCGAAACCGUCGUUACUCUAUCCCCCGGUGGUUAAUUCCAAACGACUUCGAAAAUUCUCCUCCGUUUCGGCCUCAGCUUCCGCGUCGGCGCCACCGCAAACAGACGAUUCCGAUGUUACAACUAAGAUUCCGCCGGACAACCGAAUUCCAGCUACUAUAAUUACGGGGUUUCUGGGCUCCGGCAAGACGACGUUACUGAACCAUAUACUGACUAGAGAUCAUGGGAAGCGCAUAGCCGUGAUCGAGAAUGAGUUUGGUGAAGUUGACAUAGACGGCUCACUUGUUGCUUCCAAAUCUGUGGGAGCAGAGGAUAUAGUGAUGCUCAACAAUGGCUGCCUAUGCUGCACUGUCAGGGGUGAUCUUGUGAGGAUGAUUUCUGAGUUAGUCAACAAGAAGAAAGGGAAGUUCGAUCAUAUCGUGAUAGAGACAACAGGGCUGGCAAACCCGGCUCCGAUUAUCCAAACCUUUUAUGCGGAGGAGGAGAUUUUCAAUGAUGUCAAACUGGACGGUGUUGUUACUCUUGUUGAUGCUAAGCAUGCUCGUUUGCAUCUUGAUGAGGUCAAACCCAAAGGUGUUGUCAACGAGGCUGUUGAACAGAUAGCCUAUGCUGACCGUAUCAUAGUUAAUAAGACUGAUCUUGUCGGUGAGUCAGAGUUAGGUUCAGUGGUGCAACGCAUAAAGACAAUAAACAGCAUGGCUCAGAUGACGAGGACAAAUUACGGAAACGUUGACUUGGACUAUGUUCUUGGAAUUGGAGGUUUUGAUCUAGAGAGAAUCGAAAGCUCUGUGACCACCGAAGAUGAUAAGAAAGGUCAUGAUGAGUGUCACGACGAACAUCACCAUGAUCACGACCAUCAUCAUCAUGAUCACCAUCACCACAAUGAACAUGAGCAUAAUCAUUCUCAUGAUCAUGAUCAUACCCAUGAUCCCGGUGUUUCUUCAGUCAGUAUAGUUUGCGAAGGGAGCUUAGACCUUGACAAGGCAAACAUGUGGCUAGGGACGUUACUGAUGGAACGAAGUGAGGAUAUCUACAGGAUGAAAGGUCUGCUGUCGGUCCACACCAUGGAGGAGAGAUUCGUGUUUCAAGGAGUCCAUGACAUCUUUCAAGGAUCCCCAGACCGGUUAUGGGGAAAAGACGAGGCUAGAGUCAACAAGAUGGUCUUCAUUGGCAAGAAUUUGAACCGGGAGGAGCUAGAGAAGGGUUUUAAAGCUUGCUUGAUUUGAAUUCUCUAAGCAUUACAAUUCAAACCCAUCCCUAUUUCUGCCAGAUGUUGUAUCCUAUUGUCCUAAAAGUACAUCAUCUAUUUCACUUAUAGUUCUGUUUUUGUAACACUGAUUUAUCUAUUAUAAAAUGUGAGAACUAUUAUAAUUCGAUCCUAUCAUUGAUAAUUUUAUUUGUUU